rnacentral:rRNA from 1 species
UUGGGGAUUUUUUUCCCAAGGCGCAAGCCUGACGGAGCAAGACCGCGUGGGGGAGGAAGGCUCUUGGGUUGUAAACCCCUUUUCUCAAGGAAGAACACAAUGACGGUACUUGAGGAAUAAGCCUCGGCUAACUCCGUGCCAGCAGCCGCGGUAAUACGGAGGAGGCAAGCGUUAUCCGGAAUGAUUGGGCGUAAAGCGUCCGUAGGUGGCAGUUCAAGUCUGCUGUCAAAGACCGUAGCUCAACCACUGAAAGGCAGUGAAACUGAACAGCUAGAGUACGGUAGGGGCAGAGGGAAUUCCCGGUGUAGCGGUGAAAUGCGUAGAUAUCGGGAAGAACACCGGUGGCGAAAGCGCUCUGCUGGCCGAACUACACCGAGGACAAAGCUGGUCC